rnacentral:rRNA from 1 species
UACGGAGGGUGCAAGCGUUGUCCGGAAUCACUGGGCGUAAAGGGCGCGUAGGCGGCUCGGUAAGUAGGGGGUGAAAUCCUGCGGCUUAACCGCAGGGCUGCCUUCUAAACUGUCGAGCUUGAGCACGGUAGAGGCAGAUGGAAUUCCCGGUGUAGCGGUGGAAUGCAUAGAGAUCGGGAAGAACACCGGUGGCGAAGGCGGCCUGCUGGGCAGUGGCUGACGCUGAGGCGCGACAGCGUGGGGAGCAAACAGG